GCAUCCUCAAAUGGCCAGACAUGACUGCAAACAACACAUGACAAGAGAGACAGGAAGUCAUCAGACCACACCUGUCGAAAUAAAUCCACCUGGGAAAAUGGCCGCCACUGUUUUAUUGUAUUUUUGACCUUGUUGGAACAGCUAAAAAGGAACAAGAGAAUGAGGAGCAGAAGAUAUCACCAGAGUUUAGCAAGACGAUCAGAAGGUCAUCUGCCUCCAAAGAAGUGAGACCUUGGAAAGAAGGGGAGAAAAUGCCCAUCUCUCUGGGCCAUGCACUGCACCAGUUAAUGGAAGAAUUGUGUCCCAAUCCGGCUCCAUGCUGAUUUUCUCAGGAGGGAACGUGGCGUUCCAGUCCAUCGCCUGCACCGCUUGUCCAGGAAGUCUCGGUGAAGAGCGUUCUUCAGAAAAGAAUUUCACACACCAGCGGAGCCACUUCGCUCUGUAUUUGAUCUGUCUCCGCCUCGGCAGAAAGAUCUCAGGCCCGCGGUGGGCGAGCGAGGUCCGCCGGCGGGGAAAGCCCGGCCUCGUUCACCCCGUCUUUAUAAAACGGGAGGAUUGUGCCCGCUAGCCCUUGUCGCCGCUAAACAAGCCGUAGACGGCGAACUGUGGAAGAUUUAAGGUUCGUAUCGGUGCUGUUCAGGGCUGUAGUUAAACUAUGUUAACAACCAUUAUUUUGUUCUGAGAGGGUUCUCUUAACUCGCCCAACUCAAAUCCCUCUUUCUUAGCCUAGAGAUUCUCUUUAUGAAUAAAAUUAAUAUUUUAUUGGCUGUAGGUGAAAUUUCCUGUGGUUCUGAAGGUG
ensembl:lncRNA